rnacentral:lncRNA from 1 species
AGUUUCGCUCUCGGCCGCCAGUCUAAUCUGGAAGCGCCUCGUAGACACUCCCCGUCCUAUGGUUUUUCCCGAGCUCGCUUGCAAGCCCCACCACACUGGCCAGCUCAACCGCCACAGUCCACCCUCCGGAGUGCGAGGACGCACGCCCCUGGCAACUCCUAACCCCUCAGUUUGAGGGGACACUCCCCACUAAGUCCCAGAAUUCCGCCCCCCCCCCCGUGGUUCCUUCUGGCCAUGCUUUCUGGCUUUCUCUCUAUGCUGUGUGAUUCUAACUGCCCCUAAGGUCGUGUGUAACCCACGUGCAGAUCAGGAACCUAAUCCUUUUUCCUGAAAUACCUCUCACCCUGUUCGUCUUCCUGUGCGCUCAUAUCCAAACUCACUGAUGACCACGCGGCUCUUCCCCAGUGUCCCCCCUCUACGGAGACUAGCUUGGAAACUCAUUGCUCACUAUUAAACGAAGGAAGGAAAAACA